rnacentral:rRNA from 1 species
CCUACGGGAGGCAGCAGUGGGGAAUAUUGGACAAUGGGCGAAAGCCUGAUCCAGCAAUGCCGCGUGAGUGAAGAAGGCCUUCGGGUUGUAAAGCUCUUUUACCCGGGAAGAUAAUGACUGUACCGGGAGAAUAAGCUCCGGCUAACUCCGUGCCAGCAGCCGCGGUAAUACGGAGGGAGCUAGCGUUGUUCGGAAUUACUGGGCGUAAAGCGUACGUAGGCGGCUUGGUAAGUCAGAGGUGAAAGCCCACGACUCAAUCGUGGAACUGCCUUUGAGACUGCUUCGCUUGAAGAUGGGAGAGGUUAGUGGAAUUCCGAGUGUAGAGGUGAAAUUCGUAGAUAUUCGGAAGAACACCAGUGGCGAAGGCGGCUAACUGGACCAUUCUUGACGCUGAGGUACGAAAGCGUGGGGAGCAAACAGGAUUAGAUACCCUGGUAGUCCACGCCGUAAACGAUGAUAACUAGCUGUCGGGGCUCUUGGAGCUUCGGUGGCGCAGCUAACGCAUUAAGUUAUCCGCCUGGGGAGUACGGCCGCAAGGUUAAAACUCAAAUGAAUUGACGG